GCAUUAAUCUUUCUGUGGAGUUUUCCCUUCCGUUGUUGUUUAUUGAUAAUUAAACAUGGCUUCAUUUGCAAAGGUGGUUGUGUGUGUCCUGAUCGCUUGUGUCUGUAAUGCAUUCUGUUUUCCGAAGAGAGAUGUGAACUUUAAGGCCUCUGCAGUUGACCGCCAAAGUGAUGAUGUGGUUGUCACCACAACACCCGUUCCCCACAACCAGACCACAUCUGCCCAUACUGAAGCUGGCGGUGCAAGUGAAGAUGCUGUCGCUACUACCCCAGCACCUAAUCCACACAACCAGACAACUUCUGCACAAACUGAAGUUACUGAUGGAGCCAGUGAAGAUGCUGUGGACCGCCAAAGUGAUGAUGUGGUUGUGGCCACAACACCCGAUCCCCACAACCAGACCACAUCUGCCCAUACUGAAGCUGAUGGAGCCAGUGAAGAUGCUGUGGACCGCCAAAGUGAUGAUGUGGUUGUGGCCACAACACCCGAUCCCCACAACCAGACCACAUCUGCCCAUACUGAAGCUGGUGAUGGAGCAAGUGAAGAUGCUGUGGCUACCACCCCAACACCAAAUCCCCCAACUACAUCUGACCACACUGCAGCUACCGAUGAUGCAAGUGAGGGUGCUGUGGCUGCCCAAACUGGAACUACUGUAUCCCAUACGACUGAAGUCUGAUUCGACUGCUCCUCUGGUCACAAUGACCUGAGUCACUGUCUGGACUUUUUGCCUCUACAUGUUGACUGCAAUAAAGGACAGAUUU
ensembl:lncRNA